GGCUUCUAUUUCUCUUCCAGUUUGAUCCCCUCGUUGAAACACAGUGGAAGAGAUUUGUCGAGCAGCUAAUCGCUAACUUGAAGGCAUUAGGAGCAGAAUUAGGUGGUGAGUCAGAUGGCGGUACACGCGUUAGGUUAGGACGAUCAUCACACGGCAAUGUCAUCUUGCCAAACGGCAUUUUCAUCCCUGGUCUGGACUUCAACGACAUCCUCGACAUUUUGGGCGGCUAUGGCAAGGGCCUGUACAGUUUACUCAUCCCUGUCCUCACGAGACGAGGUCGCGAUGUCGGGACGACAGUGUCUGGCAGCUUUACAACCAGCUCCAGCAUCAAAUCCUGCAGGUAAGACUUGCGGCCAGACGCUAAUUAGUUUCCUCCGAUGUCAGCAGUGCGCUAUUCGUCUCUUCAUUAUGGUGGAAAUGCGGUCAUCAGUCCGAUGAACACGGCAAAACGACGGAAGUAGUGACAUAAGAUUACCACUUAGAGGGUUAACUUAAUAAUGUAAAUAAAGGAUCAGCUCAAAGGUACUGUCUUCCCAGAUAAAACUUCCCCUCGCUGGCUUCGUCUGGUUUCAAACAUGUGCUCUACUCCCAGGAUCAACAGCAACAUUAUGUAUCAUUGUCUGGGUUGUAUUAUAACGAUUGUAUUUGAUCAUUUUUACAAACUUUUCGUCGCAGGAUACAAAAUACUAACAUAGAAAGACUUUCUAGCAAGUCGUUGCUUUGGCUGUUCUGUUCGCUGUACAUGUUAGUAAAUAUCAGCCCAGCCUCGACUUCCAGCAUAAUAUUUCAAGCCAUGAUGGUUUUAAGUGUUCACAUUGUGUUCGUUUCGAGAUGUAUCUUACUGUUUCCGUAUUCUACCAGUCACCGUGGGGUGUUCCAUCUUGAAUCGUUCUCCGAGUGCUUAACAGCACUUAUACAUAUACACGUAUAUCAUUACAAUUACAAACACGUAUAACAUUACAAUUACACAUAUUACAAUAACAAACACUUAUACACAUUACAAUUGCGAACUAGUAUUCUAUACCUUCUAAACUCCUGAACAUGCAAUCAGUUUUCAAAGAAAAGGUGAAAGCUGUUUCAAGCUUCAAUAUGUGACGAAAGGCGUUUGGUCUGCCUCAUUAUGAUUUAAAUGUCGAAAUCCAAACGAUCUUUUUGUAUUUCUGGUGACGGUUAUUGAAGAUGUCCAGAAAGUUGAGAAGGCAAUUUAUGACUGUGACAGCGAUUCGAAGGAGACAAUGUAGUGCUGGACAAGAAUGCUUGUAGCCGCCAUCUUUAAGACUUUGCUGCACCUGCCAUCAUCACUGAAAGAAAAGGACGUGAAAAUAUCGAUCUGUAAUACAUCUACAGAACAAAAUUCAGACUUGAGGUGUGUUACCGUGUUUAGCUUCGAGAUAGCCUCAUCACCAACAAAGAUAAAAAUACAACUGUGUCGUGAAAAAAAUAUAGUCCCGUGACCUUACAGUCGUAGGGGAUGAGAUGCUGGCUAACGUAUCUCGGUCUGUAGAACACACCAUCUAUUGACCCAUAUACGGUACCUAGGCUACCAUCAGUCCUACAUACUUGGUGUACGUGUGACGCACACAGAAAGGAUAAGGUCUUGACACAGUGAGUUCUCUGGUCUGGUGUCACAAGGGUACAUUGUCUCCUGCUAAGAAGCUGGGAAAGACAGUGGAUCCCACCCUUGUCGCCAGUCAUCCGUUUACUCUCAUUUGCACCACGCGCUUUUAAAAAGUUCUUGCCGGUGUGGCGGUAAGCAGCUUGCCGUCAGGAAGCCCGAAAGGCUGUUCACGCCAUGUUGGUUCGCGAUUGUGACGUCAACGUCAGGAACAAUGAGAACUGACGAGAGUCGAAGACUCGCAUAUCCGCCUGGAUUCCCGCCAUUUGCCCAGCGCGUGCAACUGUCCGCAAUCGAUUCAAAUUGAAACAUAAAGUCAACAAGCAGAAAGCCGCACCUCGGCCGGGGUUUACUGUCUUCUCCACUCGCUGUUUGCGGACGACGUUGCUGUUUCAGGAAUCUUUAGCCGCGAGGUGGCGCUGAACACGGGGUAUGAAGACGUACACUUGAAGCCGGUGGACGUUGUUCGAUUUCUGCUGAAAAUGGAAUCAGGAAUGUUUUUAAGGGAGGACAGGGAAACUCGUUUGCAACCACAACAGAUAUUUCUUAAACUAAAAGCGGACAACAGGAACAAUGAUGGCAUUACUCACUUGCUUUUAGGAAAAUUUGACUAAUGGCUGUGCCCGUUAUUUCCCCUUGAAAGUGGGUGAGAGAAUGCGAGAUCAUUGAUUAUAAGAGGAUUAUUUUUGUAUUAUAUUAUUUGACGAUUCUUUAGAGUUUUUAAAUGAUGCCGUUUUAAUCUGGUUUUCUGAUCCGGUUCAUAAUCUCAGAAAGUAGUUCAGAGGCUGCAUUAUCAUUGACAUCACCGCUGGACCUUGAACAAAACUUAUGUACACUUUGGAGAUUGCUACACAAAGCUCUCGAUAGAUGUUCUCCUGUCUGUUUCACCCUUACUCGGUUAUAUUUUAAAAAGUUUUGUAUUUUCUGUUCCAGCUGAUUCACGCAAACUCUUUGCAGACGACAAGUGUGUGACAGUUUCUCUGGCACUGCACCUGACGCUGUUGGCUGUAAGAACUCAAGCGAAAAACAGGCAGGAGCGUCACCACGGAAAAAACAAAGCAAAACAAAAGCUCGUUUAGAAAAUCGCCUCGGCAUCUUUCCGAAAGAUAAAACUGGAGGAGCAAAGGGACUAUAAAAAUGAUUCUGGUGAGCACCAAAGCUGAGAGAAUUUGUGAGCCGAGAGUCGUCACCAGAGGCCUGUGUUCUCAGCCUUUCUCAAGAUCCAGAAAGAACUCGAGCGUGAAGCUGUUAUGGCGGACUUUCAGGACCGAUCCAGAUGGUGCUGCUCGUGCUGUCUCUGCCGCAGUGAAGCGUGAAGGACUCAAGCGCCAUUGCAAUGAAGUAUUGUCAUUCGGCAACAAUACAACAGGAAUCGUCAGACAUUCUGACACAACAACAGUCAUCAGAGUUGUUAUAAACAUGAGAUAUUAGACCUCUGAUACAACAGAGCAGUCGUCAUUCUAAUACAACACAGCGCAAGAGACGUCAGACAUUCUGACUCAACACAAAAAGAGCCGUCAGAAUUUCUUUUACAAUACAGCAAGAGUCGUCAGAUACAGGGCAGUAGAAAGCCAGCAUGGUCCCCGGGACAGACGACCUUUACGAGCCCUUCACAUUAAUGAUCAAUUCUAGUCGUUUAUCAUUUUUCAAGUAUAUAACAUUACGCUUACAAGUUAUAACUCAGCUGGCAAUAUUUACAUUUCGUUUAGUAACUUAAUAUAGACAGCAAACAUAAGGAAAGUGUACACAACUAUAUAUAUAUACGCUCUCUGUUACAACACUGCAUGAAGUGAACAUUUUAGAGCUGUGUACACGUCAGUGGUCAGUAAAUGAGGGGAAAAAAGUAAAAAGUCGAAGUCGCACAAGUCACACCCCUUCUGGAGGAAAAUGUCACCAGAGGACGUGAAAAACUCGACUACAGAAACGAAGAUUAAAGACAAUACAAAGUUUAUUGCCUUGUGAUGUCAUAGUCAUUACACAUUUGGGUACAAUUAGAGGAAGUAGUGCUGAAGCCUACAUUUUGUAGUGUUCUUUUUUUGAAGUCUAGUUUUAAUUAUUUUUCCCCGUGGGGCUUUUCGUUUUACUCUUGUUAAAUACUGACCAAGGCUGUGUCUACCCCACAGCUGCAGACCCGGGUACACCAGCCACCCCACUCGUCAGAUAGUCGCACACAACGCAAGAGAAAUUUUGGUGAGAGUUCUGUCCCUUCGCCUAACAGGGUGAGAGGGUUGUCUCUCCUUGAUUUUGUUUGUUUUGUUUUCGUGCUUCGAUUUGGAUUAAAGUGUUGGACCUUUAUGUUUUCAUGUGCUUAUGCUGCAUUUUUUCCUCUUCUGGUUCCUAACAGGAAGCUUAACAGAAAUGCUGAUGCACCAACAGCCACCCACAGUCACGUGAACAGACUAUGUCGAAGCUCUUGGAAUGUUUUUCGUCGAGAACCUGUAGGCCAUUACUACAGUGGUCAGCAAGUGCACGAUGCUACUCAAAGUGCUGUCGGGAUGCCGAUGGAUGAGUUGCUGCGUCUGCUGCCUGCUGCUUGUCACCAUUCUGACGUCAUCCUGUACGUCACUGUCUGUGUCGUCGCCGGCACUCAAGCUGGGUUCGCUACACCGGAGGUCAGUGCGCUCAGUGGCUGUCGUAGACAACAACGACGAUGCAGACGAUAGAAAUGACAAGGAAUGUUCCUCCGAUUUCGUUGAGAAAUUCUUUCGAGUUCUGAGUGGCCCUGCAUGCAGAGAGGCAGUUCUGGCCUCCAGUCGCCAACCUGCUGUCAGAGGACGAACGCUUCGACUGGCGGGCCGCCACUGAGAGGUCUGCACCGUCCAGGGUGUCCUCCUCCAGCAGUUCUCGCCAGAUAUUGCCUUCGGGGAGACACAGCGAGUUUCUCCAAAAUUUCCCCCGUUUUCGACGCCAAGCGCCUCGCCCCGAAAUUCAAUCCCAGUGGCUGGAGGCGCAAACGGGAUGUGACGUCAUCGGAGCCCUUGCUUCGCCGUACGCUGAUUGGUCUGCUCAGCCAGCAUCCUCAGCCUUCCCACCUUCGACAGAAACCGCUUGUCUUCGCUUUUCAGCGACGAUGAUGUUAGCCUCGCCCGGUUCCAGAGACAGCCGAGUGGCAGAGUUUUAAAAGGAACGUGGGAGUCGGCGAGGAACAAGGGCUGACCAGACGAGUGGGCGACUUGGAGCUGAAACUCAAACGUCGACCUUUAGAGUUCAACCCUACCGGCUGGUGAGGACCAACCCACUACAGGACGCGCAAAAUCCCUGUCUACGUGAACUAACUGUAGAGUGUCAUGAAUAAUUCGGAGAAACAAGUGCACAUGCACUCAUACAAUAAUUUACCAUUGGGUGUUAGAAUAAAACAAAAUACCUACAUGUUCACUCAUACAAUAAGUCAGAAUAAUGUGUGAUGUGGCAAGUAUUUGUACAGCCAUACAGUAAGUCAUUACAAUGAUUUCUCCCAGAAGUGCGCUGAAAGGAAUCUGGAUGGUUCUUCGACAAAUUUUAUUCUAGACAAAUCAAACUUCUGAAACAACAAAAAAGAAAAGUUUUUUUUUUCAAAUACAUAAUUUAAGUUCCAUGUAAGUGACAAUAAGGCAUGUUUAAGAUACGAACGGAGAGUGAAGUGUGUCGUCCUUACUGAGGAAAAUAAAGUUAAUAUUUUGUUUGCAAGA